AUUUGGAUGCCUGGGUAGAUAAUUCAAACUCGGAAGGCAUCUGAGGGUAUUUCAGGGUUGAUAGGGAUCUCAAAUGUCACCAGGGCUUUGACUGCCGGAUAAUUAGACCCCAAGCGACGGCUGGCUACAUCUCCAGCCCCUUAGUCCCGUGGCAGCCCCGUCAUUUUCUCUCCUUGGUUGGAGAGACGGCUGCUGGCUGUGAUCUUCCCGCCAGAUCAGCGCCUUACCAGAGCUGGACACGACUCCCUUCUGAAGGAACCCUGCGCAGAUGUCAUCACCCAGAGUUUACCUCUGAUCUCUGAGGAUUCAGUGUGAACCAUCACAGCACAGGCAGGCUGCCCAUCUCAGGCGGCUUAACAAGAACACUGGGUUCCUGCUUCGACAAGGGAAUUGGAAGGUUUCACUUUCCCUCUCUGGUAUUGGUUUCCCUUCUGGAUCCCCAAACUCAGCAAAAUUCAGAAACCAUGACCUCUAAGUCUCAGCUGCCUUGUAUCACAAAUAUCACUUACUCCAUGAAGCCUUCUUGGAUUCUCCACCACCCCCCAAGCUCCUUAAAUCCUGGCUCAUAUUUGGACUUAAUCCUGCUUGUUGGGCAUGAGGAUAAGUGGAGGCAGAUCCUGGUGGUGGGGUGUGCUCCCCUGUGCACCCAACAGAAAGAAAAACUCAAAGACCUGUGUCAGCUCGACUUUCUCUCCAUUUGCUCUUCAGAUCAGGUAAGUUUAUAGGUAUCUUUCUUUAUUUCUUUGGCACAGUUCAAAUCCUAAGUUGCAUUAUUGCUUGGGUUUGUUUCUUGUCUCUAUCAACUGGUACCUUCUUCAAGGCACAUAUUUUCAUUUCUUACCUUGGCACCAUUACUCAUGUUUGGGAUUCCCUUUUGGAGUCCUAGGGACCCAUUUUCAGAGAUGCGCAUUUAAUUAUUCUGGGGUUCAGAAUACAUCAGAAAUAUUUAAUGCUCCUCAGGUCAUGCUAAUAUGCAACCAAGAUCGAGAACCACUGUCCUAAGGCCUUUUAUUAGCCUAUCUUGUGCGUGUGGUGAUGGCAGAGGUUCUCAAAUUGUGAUUUGCAUCAGAACCACUUAGAGGGCUUCUUAAAACCAGAUUUGGGUCCCUCCCUCCAGUUUCUGAUGUAGUGGGUCUGAGGUAAGAUCCAAUAAUUUGCAUUUCUAACAAGUUUCCAGGUGAUGCAGAUGCUCUGGAGACCCUGCUUUAAGAACCCCUGGAUCAGGAUAUAGUUGGGCCAGAAUCACUGAGCUUCUUCCUUUCCUGCUCAUGACUGUGGGAUUUAUCGAAAAGUGGCACUUUUCUUACCUAAUAUGUGUAUUUUAUAUGCAUAUAUAUAAUUAGAGGUUUUGAUACUAGGACAUUACAAUCAGUCGGAUCUGAGUCUUUUGGUGUGCUAUUUGACAAGUACUUUAGAUGUCAGGGUACAAAAAAAGGUGAAAGCAUCAAAUGGAAUAUGCUUACACAAUUAAACUCCCAGACACCCUCCCCUUCUACUUUACGUGGUAAUAUUUUCAAUUGCUAUGGAUGUGGAAAAAGAAAUGGAGGUAAAAUGGUUGGAAAUGGGGAAAGCUAUUACUAUGUGGGUAAAAGCAUAAACUGUAUGUAUUUUGGUGCAUAUUUACUCCUUGGGGUUGUCCCUAUAGAAAUGCCUUUUCUGCUCCCAUGAUGUCUCUGUAUAUCUUCGGAUUGCCAACAUCUUAAACCUUUUACAAACUGGAAGGAUCUUUGUCUUUUGGGAGGCCAGGUUUGAUUUGGCAUGACAACACUGUUUACUGACUUGAUUGUACUUUCUAAUUUAGCGAUGGCAUUUUUUGCUUCAGUGAAGUUUUUUCUUCCCUCUUUGUGACUACCUGUUCCAGUUUCAUACACACAACAGCCUCUUAGAAUACGUUGAGAAUGAAGUUAGAAAGUGUCAAAAUUGUUUUAUUCUACAGCAAUUUUCUUUGGAAGACAUUAGCUCAGAUUUCUCAGUCUGGGUCCUCCUUUUGUGAACUGUAGAAAGUUUGUCUUUUUUUUAGUGAUUUUGCUACCUGUACCUAUUUUUUACAAAGGAGUUAUAUGCUUUUCUAAAACUAGGGACUGAGGUGGGUCUUGUCAGAUUCUGUGUGUGCUCUAUUUCAAAUCUCUUAGCCAAAGGGGGAAGUUUCUUUUUCCUUUGCCAGUGUGUACUUGAAGCAGCCUGGGGGUAUAGGGGAGAUGCGAAAUUCAGAGGCUGUGUGUCAGGAGGCUAUACCUCUCAGCUGAAAAAUUAAUGAUUAGUGAUGGUAGGCAGGAAUUAUCUGGAUACCACUUCAUGUCUUUGCCUAGUGGAGGGAAGCCCACGAUACCAUUGGUGGCUCAGGAGUCACACAGCUGUGGCCUACCUCAUUGGGAUGGCCAUUGGUGUUUCUGUGUUUGCAGAGGCUGAUUGUCCAUCUGCUUGCCUUAAUUUCUAGCCCUAAUCCCUCCCAGUUAGUGGAUGUCUUACUCUUACUUCCUAGGUAAGCUAUUCCUUUAUGGGUGGGGAGGGGUAGGAAUAGAUCAAAGAGCUCCAACCCUUUUAGUAAAGGGCCAGAUAGUAAAUAUUUUAGGCUUUCCAGGUGAUACUAUCUCUGUAAAAACUACUCCCAUCUGCUGUUUUAUUGAGAAGACAGCCAUAAGCUUGGUGGCUUCCAGUGAAAUUGAAUUACAAAAAUAGCCCUUUGUUUGCUGACCCCCCAAAUAAAUGGUUUUCCCUGUAGCCCACCUGAACUUUAUCAAUCAAAAGUCUUCAAAGUUUCUUAUGUCCUCUUUUCCAGAUUUAUAAUUUGAUACGGCAUUUUGUUCAUUUUUAUAUUCUAUUUAUCAUUUCAAAGAUGAUAAUGGAAGUAAGUCAGACACAUGUCCUCAAAAUGCCAUCUUUCCAGGAGUCCCCAAUGCCUAUUUUUUUAAUGUUCAAUACCACAUUCCAUGGUAAAGACCUUUAAUGUUCUUUACUUCCCCAUUGAUAUUUAGUCUCAAAAAAUGAACACCAUUAUCUGAAGCUUAGUUUUUAAUUUUCUUUUUAAGAAUUCUCUUCUAUACUUAAUAGCAAAAAACAAUAAACAAACAAAAAACAAACAAAAAAACGGCUCUUCUCUAGAGACAGUGAGGUUUGUGUGAAGCCUGAAUUUCUUGGCUUGACUCCUUUUUUUUUUCUGUUGCAGAAAGAUUUUCAUGGCUAGAGAAAAAUAAGUUUCUUUCCAGAUUCUCUAACUUAGAAAAUACCAGCACUUGAGCCCCAU